rnacentral:rRNA from 1 species
GAUCCUGGCUCAGAUUGAACGCUGGCGGCAGGCCUAACACAUGCAAGUCGAACGGUAACAGGAAGAAGCUUGCUUCUUUGCUGACGAGUGGCGGACGGGUGAGUAAUGUCUGGGAAACUGCCUGAUGGAGGGGGAUAACUACUGGAAACGGUAGCUAAUACCGCAUAACGUCGCAAGACCAAAGAGGGGGACCUUCGGGCCUCUUGCCAUCGGAUGUGCCCAGAUGGGAUUAGCUAGUAGGUGGGGUAACGGCUCACCUAGGCGACGAUCCCUAGCUGGUCUGAGAGGAUGACCAGCCACACUGGAACUGAGACACGGUCCAGACUCCUACGGGAGGCAGCAGUGGGGAAUAUUGCACAAUGGGCGCAAGCCUGAUGCAGCCAUGCCGCGUGUAUGAAGAAGGCCUUCGGGUUGUAAAGACUUUUCAGCGGGGAGGAAGGGAGUAAAGUUAAUACCUUUGCUCAUUGACGUUACCCGCAGAAGAAGCACCGGCUAACUCCGUGCCAGCAGCCGCGGUAAUACGGAGGGUGCAAGCGUUAAUCGGAAUUACUGGGCGUAAAGCGCACGCAGGCGGUUUGUUAAGUCAGAUGUGAAAUCCCCGGGCUCAACCUGGGAACUGCAUCUGAUACUGGCAAGCUUGAGUCUCGUAGAGGGGGGUAGAAUUCCAGGUGUAGCGGUGAAAUGCGUAGAGAUCUGGAGGAAUACCGGUGGCGAAGGCGGCCCCCUGGACGAAGACUGACGCUCAGUGCGAAAGCGUGGGGAGCAAACAGGAUUAGAUACCCUGUAGUCCACGCCGUAAACGAUGUCGACUUGGAGGUUGUGCCCUUGAGGCGUGGCUUCCGGAGCUAACGCGUUAAGUCGACCGCCUGGGGAGUACGGCCGCAAGGUUAAAACUCAAAUGAAUUGACGGGGGCCCGCACAAGCGGUGGAGCAUGGUGGUUU